AUGGAUGAGGUCACAAGGGAUAUACAAGGAGAUAUCCCAUGGUGUAUGCUCUUUGCGAAUGAUGUGGUGCUAGUUGACGAUAGUCGGACGGGGGUAAAUAGGAAGUUAGAGUUAUGGAGACAAACCUUGGAAUCGAAAGGGUUUAGGCUUAGUAGAACUAAAACCGAGUACAUGAUGUGCGGUUUCAGUACUACUAGGUGUGAGGAGGAGGUUAGCCUUGAUGGCCAGGUGGUACCUCAGAAGGACACCUUUCGGUAUUUGGGGUCAAUGCUGCAGGAGGAUGGGGGAUUGAUGAAGAUGUGA
rnacentral:rRNA from 1 species